rnacentral:rRNA from 1 species
AUUGAACGCUGGCGGCAGGCUUACCACAUGCAAGUCGAGCGAGCGGCGGACGGGUGAGUAAUGUCUGGGGAUCUGCCUGAUGGAGGGGGCUAACUACUGGAAACGGUGGCUAAUACCGCAUACUAUCGGAUGUACCCAUAUGGGAUUAGCUAGUAGGUGGGGUAAAGGCUCACCUAGGCGACGAUCCCUAGCUGGUCUGAGAGGAGGAUCAGCCACACUGGGACUGAGACAAGGUCCAGACUCCUACGGGAGGCAGCAGUGGGGAAUAUGGCACAAUGGGCGCAAGCCUGAUGCAGCCAUGCCGCGUGUAUGAAGAAGGCCUUAGGGUUGUAAAGUACUUUCAGCGGGGAGGCGUUACUCGCAGAAGAAGCACCGGCUAACUCCGUGCCAGCAGCCGCGGUAAUAC